AACGCACGAGACCUGCGGACCUGCGGAAGGAUCAUUGAUGAGAAGCUGCCCCUCGUGGGUAGACCUCCCACCCUCUGUGAACUUACCUUUGUUGCUUUGGCAGGCCCGUCCUCUGGACCGCCGGCUUCGGCUGGCCCGUGCCUGCCAGAGGAUUCCAAACCCUGUCUGUCAGUGUUGUCUGAGUCUAUAUGAAAUCGUUAAAACUUUUAACAAUGGAUCUCUAGAUCGGAAGAGCACACG
rnacentral:misc_RNA from 1 species